rnacentral:misc_RNA from 1 species
GAAAUGCGAUAAUUAAUGUGAAUUGCAGAAUUCAGUGAAUCAUCGAGUCUUUGAACGCACAUUGCGCCCCCUGGUAUUCCGGGGGGCAUGCCUGUCCGAGCGUCAUUGCUGCCCUCAAGCACGGCUUGUGUGUUGGGCUUCCGUCCCUGGCAACGGGGACGGGCCCAAAAGGCAGUGGCGGCACCAUGUCUGGUCCUCGAGCGUAUGGGGCUUUGUCACCCGCUCCCGUAGGUCCAGCUGGCAGCUAGCCUCGCAACCAAUCUUUUAACCAGGUUGACCUCGGAUCAGGUAGGGAUACCCGCUGAACUUAAGC